UUAAUUGAAGCCAAAUCAGAGGCCUUUCAUUGUUAAUGAAAUCAUUGAUCUUAUGAUCCAAUUAAA
rnacentral:tRNA from 1 species